AGUAAAUAGAUACCCAGGUAGUCCACGCUGUAAACGAUGAGUGCUGGACGUUGGCGGGUUUACCUGCCGGUGUCGCAGCUAAACGCGUUAAGCACUCCGCCUGGGGAGUACGGCCGCAAGGUUAAAACUCAAAGGAAUUGACGGGGGCCCGCACAAGCGGUGGAGCAUGUGGUUUAAUUCGACGCAACGCGCAGAACCUUACCAGCCCUUGACAUGGGCGGACGGGGUCCAGAGAUGGACUCUUUCUCGCAAGAGACCGCUACACAGGUGCUGCAUGGCUGUCGUCAGCUCGUGUCGUGACGAUGUUGGGUU
rnacentral:rRNA from 1 species